rnacentral:rRNA from 1 species
CCUACGGGAGGCAGCAGUGGGGAAUAUUGCACAAUGGGGGAAACCCUGAUGCAGCGACGCCGCGUGAGUGAAGAAGUAUUUCGGUAUGUAAAGCUCUAUCAGCAGGGAAGAAAUACUGACCUUACGGUCAGCAGACGGUACCUGACUAAGAAGCCCCGGCUAACUACGUGCCAGCAGCCGCGGUAAUACGUAGGGGGCAAGCGUUAUCCGGAUUUACUGGGGGUAAAGGGAGCGUAGACGGCAGCGCAAGUCUGAAGUGAAAUCCCAUGGCUUAACCAUGGAACUGCUUUGGAGACUGUGCAGCUGGAGUGCAGGAGAGGUAAGCGGAAUGCCUAGUGUAGCGGUGAAAUGCGUAGAUAUUAGGAGGAACACCAGUGGCGAAGGCGGCUUACUGGACUGUAACUGACGUUGAGGCUCGAAAGCGUGGGGAGCAAACAGGAUUAGAUACCCGUGUAGUC